CUCUUCUCUCUUCGUCUCUCAUUUUCUCCACCAGAAUUUUUUUUCUCUCAUCUGAUAAGAUCUGAUAAGAAAUCAGAACUUUGUAAACCUAAAAAACUUCUGCUCCUCUCUCGUUCUCAUCUCUACGAGAAAAAAGUUCCCUCAUCUGAUUAAGAAAUCAGAACUUUGUAAACCUAGAAAACCCUUUUCGAGACGUGAUUGCUCAAGCUCAAUCUGGUAUUGGAAAAAAGUUCUUUGAUUGCUCUUACUGUUUUUAAAAUCGUUGAUACUUCUAAUCGAGAGAACCAAUUCAAGAGCAUGGAAAAUGAGAAGUCCUUGAAACUGUUGUGGAGAUUAAAGAUAGGCAUGAGGCUGCUAAAGAGAUUGAAAGGAGUCUACUGGGGCUUUACCAGGCCAAGGUUUUUCAGAGAAGCAACAAAAAAUGUAUGUGUAUGGGUUUGUGCAGUUUUAUGUUACUUUGCGCUGUGCUGCUUCUGUAUGGAUCCAAGACAACAAUAUCUCAGUGUGGAUGCUAAUGGAUGGAGGUGCCACAUCAGAACUUGGGUUAUGGAUGUUUGAUUUGUCUGUCACUCAACAAGUGCAGGAUCAAGUUCAUGAUUCAGAUCGUCGCUUCGUUGGAGGAGUACAGAACUCACUGCAGUACUAUUCAAUUUAUUGUCGUACUUUGUGAGUAUACAAAACCGAAGGUUAAAAAGUAGAGCGAGUGGUCAGUUUUGUGUGUAUGAUGCAGUUGGAAGGAGCUUGAUUGAGUCCUAAAUCAGGUGAUACUGAGAUUAGCAGAAGGAGAAGCUUGCUGGUAAUGGAAGAUAAACUGUGGUGUGACACUUGGUAAUCAUGGUGUUGAAACAUAGAAUGCUAUUGAACUUGGACAGGAUAAUGCUAUUGUUAAAAGAGGUCGAGGUCGUCCACCAACCCCAACUACAGCUGAUAAGGGUAUGACACUUGGUAAUAAUGGUGUUAAACUUGAGAUGGAGAAUGCUAUUGAACUUGAACAGGACAAUGCUAUUGCUGAAAGAAGUCGAGGUCGUCCACCAAAAAAUAAUUCAGGAAGAACAUGGAGGCCCCCGACUAACGCUGAUAAGGUUUUACUCAGAGUAUUGUAAAAUUUUAGAGAAGUCCGAUUAUCUAACGGGAGAUACUGUUCGUGACAAAUGGUUAGGGAAGCUUCUUCAAGGUAUUGAAUAUGUUUGUGAUUCCAAGGACUAUGGGAAAUAUGAACAUAAAGAAAAAUGUGGCUCUUUAUCACUUGAGAAGGAAACUUCCCUCUGGCCGGAUGUUGCUGUUACAACCAUAAUUGCUCUUGAGAAGGCCUCUCACGAUGCUUUCAGUGGCGAUUCUGAAAAAUAUAUAAAGAUUGUGCGCUAGUCGCUUUCAGUGGCGAUUCUGAAAAAUAUAUAAAGAUUGUGCGCUAGUCGCUUUCAGUGUUGUUAAUUUAAGUGAUGUUGUUAAUCUGUGGUUUGGUACUUUACCAGGCAUCAAAAGAAAAAAAAAGGGAAACAGGAAUUGGAUUCUUCAACCUCUCAAACAAAGAGAAACACUUCAACCGAAGGGGAUGAGUAUUAUGCAUGAGGACUGCAUCAGAUAUCUAAGGCUGAGCUUUCUAAAUAGCAACUGCAAACUAGUAAGAGCUUUUACUUAGAUAGUAAAACCUUUGUUUCCUUGUGUUCACAUGAAAGUAUGCUUGAUUAGUAGCUGGCUGGCUCUCUUGGUCAAUACAUCUGUAAGUCCUUCUGCCAGUCCAGGUUCACCAAUAAUUCCAUGUUUUAAUUCGUUUUGAAA